UGGACCCCACAAUCCAAGAAAUGGACUCUACCUAACCAUGUCUUGUAUACAUCUAAGACUUAUGUUGAUCAGAUUGUAGCUAAGCAACUUGUGGUGGCAAGAACACUUCUCCAAAGCUAACCAAACGUACAUGGAUAAACUUGGUGAUUUCGAUAGUGUAUAGACCAAAAUCUUUUAGACUAGAUGAGUUCUUCACAAAUCCAAGACAACAAUUAAUUGCUGAACAACAAAAUAUAUGAAUCAACUUGCAUUUUAUUUUAAGGUCUUGGCAAAGGAUUCAGAAGCUCCUUGGUAGGGUUGUACAGUUUAGCAUAUUGUUAGCAAGCUCCAUUGUUCCGGACUCGCUUGUUGUUGGGUAUGCAUAUGAUAUACUUAUUUUUUAUUUAUACAUAUGUUGAAUGGGUAUGACGGGGCCCUGUCCCGACCAGUAUGAUACGUAUUUGGUCUUAGAGGCUCAUAAACAGUGAUUGGUAUAUGGAUGUCAUGUGUGGCCUACCCGACCUUAGUCGAGUUUUGAUAUUGUUGCUACAGGCUUGCCGGCCUUAUGAUAUAUGAUUGAUGUUAGUGGCAGCCUUGUUGUCUUGCAUAUCUAUAUGUGUGUAUUUAUAUAUAUGUGUGUGUGUGUGCGCGCGCGUGCGCGCACAUGUGUCUUGUAUUGUGUUGGGCCUUUUCUGCUUGCAGGUGGCUGGUGCCAUAUUAUAGUUACAUCAUACAAUUUCUUGUAGUUGUUGAGAUAUGGAUUAUGCUUGUAUCCAUGCGAGAUGGUGCUCGGUGAGUCAAGCCGGGUGCCGGUCAUGCCCCACGGUUUGGGAUGUGACAAAGUGGUAUCAGAGCAGGUCAGUCCUAGGGAUGUCUAUGAGUCGUGUCUAGUAUAGUCUUGUUUAUGGGUGUGUAGCGCGCCACACUUAUGAGCAGGAGGCUACAAGACAUUUAGGAUUGUUUCCUUUCUUUCUUUCUUUCUUUCUUGAUCUAGAUCGUGCGAUAGAGCCAAGUCAUAAGAAGUUCAUUCCUAAUCUUCCUUGUACUAUACAUCGAUCCUUACGGCUAGGAUGCGGAUGACUAGUCAGACAACCGGCGGGGGCUGCGGAAACAAAAGAGUCGUAUGGACUCAAUCGGAGCCCAUGUUUACGAUGACGUGAAUAUAAGCCUCCAUCAGAGUAUGCGUGCACCAGUGUGCGAGCUUAAAGUCAGAGUCUUAGGAUGUGAAUUAUCAUCUUAAUUGUGCGAGGGAGAACUAGGUUAGGAGGACAUUAGGAUGAAGGUGGGAAAUUUUAAGGACUAAAAAUAAGGCAGAAAAGGCAUUAGGUACGGAAAGAGAGAGAUUUGAGGCUCAAACGAAGCAGCGCGAGUAUUAUGGCUCCGUUUCCAAUAUUGAUAAGAGCAUGCUUAAUGGCACUCGUUUCAGUUGCAACCUCUGUACUUCAAGGAAGGCGACUUUAGGAGGGAUGGGAAUUCGGGAUCUAGUACAAGUUGUAAAAACAUUAGCAGUGGAAAUAGUGAUUGGAUUUAGGGUAUUAUUGCCACGGGACAUGUUAUAGUCCCUCACCAGGCAAGGGAAAUAAAUAUGUUUAAAGUGUCCAAGAAUGGUAUAGUCGGAUGUGGCUAUUGAAUAAUAGGCAAUAUCGGGCCUUGUGCAUGGAAUACACAAUUACCUCGAUGUAGCUUAUGUUACUAGCAAGGGGAAGGCAUUGAUAGGCUUGGUUAAGGAUAAGGGAAGCUAUAAAUGAAAUAAAGUUCUAUUGGAAAUUUACAAAAAUAGGAUGAAGCGGUGAGGUCGACAUUUCGAUUCGCUGUCUAGGAAGGGAAAGGAAAGACAGAAAACCUGCGCUUAGAUGAGUAAGAUAAGAAAAGCGUUAGAAAUAGAUUCAAAAAUGCUGAAAGCUAGGAAUUUGAACCUUACCUAAGGAUUAAGUACUUCCCACAAUGUGACUUGUAUUACGGGAAAGAAGAGAUAUUAAGUAACUAACGGACAAACUCAGUUAAGAAGAAAAGGGCUAGAAGUGAAAGAACAGUUGUUAAGGAUCCUUCUAGACAAGGCAGGAUGGUGAAGUUAGCAAAGGAUAAUGGAAUAAGUGUUAGGAGUAGAAGUAAGAAGUGAAUAGAUGCCAUGAGGCAGGUGCAGGAGUGCAAGAGAACUUAUAGUCCAGUAACAGAACAGGGCGAGAAAAGACAAAUAUAGAACUAUAGGUCAAGAAUAGGAAGGAUAAAAGUUGCCAGGUUAUAUCUUUAUUAUGGUAAGCGAACAUAGGUAAGAGUUCUCAGCAGACCAAUUGAACAUUCCGGCUUAGGAGACACCAACAUUGAGUAAAGUUAAGCCGAACCCGAGUGAGAAUCUCGAGGAGCUCCGACAGUUGAAGGGCGUUGCAACAUUUAACAGCCAGCAAACAGUGUAGCGAAAAAAGCGUACAACAGAACAAUAAAUAGGAGAGACUAUUAAAGGUAGUCAUUAAGACACGCAUCAUGAAUCAGAGUUAAGUUCAUCAGGUUGAGCUGCUAGUUGCGAAUGAGCGGCACUAUUGUGGUUGAAGCGAUUCAAAUGCUUCCAGUUAGUAAAUACCAUAGUAAGGCAAGCAAUGAGUAGCGGGUGCAUGACGAAUUGAUAAAGUAGUAGCAAUGAUGCGACCCCACAGGAAUAGAACCUUUAAGUAUGAGAGAUUAGCCAUUCUCCCAAAAGGAGGAAAUGGAGUGGUGGAACUUCGAGAUAUUAUGCGUUGGACUAGUGAUUGUACAACAGAAAGGGUUAUAGUUAAGUGUUAAAAAUAGAUAGGAUAAUGAUAGUGCAACACCCUACAGGGUGUCGUGAUGGUAGGACCCUACACGUGUACGGAAUCAGAAAGAAUAUGGUAAUAAGAACUAGACAAGAAGUACCAACCAAAGAUAAAAACAAUCGAGCAAUCAAGAUUUAGGUGGUAAGGGAAGACGGAACGGUAUGGUACCAAAACGAGUUCUUCAAAUUAUUGCAAAAGAAGAUAGUAUGACCUGAGCAAUCAAUAAUUGACGUGUGAAAGGCCUAGGUGUGGCAAAAAGAGAAGUCAUAGAUGAGAUAUUAGGCCAUGAAGAAUUAUACCAAGGAUUUGAGUGUAAGAAGAUUUCGUCUUGUAAGCCGCACUUGUAAUCCUUAGUGGGUACUUCAGACAAAGGUGAUAACCGAUAUCGUUUAGUAUAAACACUUCGAAAUAUAAACGGGACUACCGAGCUUGAAGCUACAAGAAAAGUCAUUCGAAGAUUAUGCUUAAAGGAAACACUACUAGUAGAAGAAGAGGAUGUGGAAGUAGAUAGAAGGAAUUGUAGAUGGCUCAAUUCACCUGAAAUUCUACGAGGAACCUGCAACAUUGGUAUGGAAUGAAAGCUUUUCAGUUACAAUUGAGGCUAAAUGUUAGCCAAGAGAUGUAGGCACAAAAAUUUGUUUCAUGAUCGCUAAUGAAUGCGAGGUAUGAAAGAGGAAGUCAAGUGACUCAAACAAGGUUGAGGAAGCAUUCCAAAUCUUGCUAGUGAAUACUAAGUCGUCAUUGGAAAGAGUAGACCAUGUUAACUUACAAACUGACGGUUCUUGACUUUACAAUAAGAUGCGUCGGUGAGGUUCAUAGAUAAAAAUCUUAUUGGAAAAAAGAUAACUGUAACUAGAAAAAGAGUGGGAUAAAUUUUAAAGCACUAAAAUAUGAGUUCGGAAGUAUGAAUUCCCUAUCAGGGGGUUUUACGGUGUAUGAAUUAGAGUCGGUUAGGCUCGAUAUAAUUCAUCAGGGCAUAAGGGAGAUGAGGGUUGUUCAGGAUCAGAAUAAGUUUUAGGAAGCAGGCAAACCCAACUAAGACAUAUUGAGUUCUGUAAAAUUGCCAGAUGAGCAUGCCAAGUGUACAGUAUGACAAUGAAGCAAGAUCAAGGCUGCGAACUUAUAAGCGCUAUAAAGGAAUAACAAUGUUACAAACAUGACAUGAAAGCCAAGAAAGAGACAAAACCCAAGAAGGUUCUCAAUGACAGAGUCUCUAGUAUACGUCUCUAUACGAUCGAGCUAGCUUCUAUCCCAUGAAAUCCCAACAGGAAUGAAACCUCCAUAUACACCCCUUACCGUUCGAGGACGAAUGUUCUUAAGGGGGGAGGGUGUUGAACUUUGCACCAUUUGCGCUACUAAUCCACUUUAAUUCAACCAGGAUAAGCUUGAAUAACUUCAUUUUCCUUGAGGUCAUAGAGUAGUUUGACUCUAUUAAUCCGAAUUUAGGGUAUAUCUAUGUCGCACCUCGUACCUCUUACGUUGACUGUGUUAAGUAUUUUCGGAUAUAAUCCAGAGAUAUUAAAGUCACUCCCUACGGACAGCGAAGGUUAUGUCACGGUAAGAUUUAACCGACUAUGGUUGGAUAUAGUAGAGGGUGGCCAAGGUGAAGCAAUACGAGGGGAAGCAAGAGCGAGACCUAAUGUACAAAGGCAAAGAAUACCCUUAUCUAUUUGGACUAAAGGUUCUUAGUAACUAAUGCUCUCUUGUUUUAUCUUAUUAACGCAUGAUACAAUGAAGCUUAUUAACUCUGAUUCUGGAAACUAUAUGGCAUUCGAAGUGAGGCAAUACAAGAAAGACUAGGGGAAAAUUAUGACUUACAAGGUAAACAUGGGUAAAGGAUAGGGUGACUAGCUUCUUUGAUGUAAAGGCUGCUUCACCAUCAAUAUGGUAUAUGUUGUAUAUAUGAAAUUGUGUAAGUUCUGUGGGGUAUACAAGAAAACUCUAUUGACGUUUCUGCAUAAUUCUCGAUAGUGAACCCUUCUCAUAGACCUCUACAUUCGAGGACAAUGUUCCUAAGUGAUGGAGGAUGUUACGUCCCGUAUUUUCGUGCGUUAGAAAACAUUCAAGUUAGACAACAUUAGUAGUGAAAAAUGAGGUUGUCCCCAAGCUUAUAGGCGGUUAGAAUGAUAUUCCAGAUAUGUCGAAAGGAUCAGAAGUUAAACAAAUCGAAGAAAAUAAGUUUCGUCGAGGUUCAACAUCUAUUUGUAUGAAAUACAGCCCAAGCUAUAGUACCCUCGUAUUUUUGGACUAGGAAAUUGAACCGUCCAACAUGAGUAAAUUUACCCGAGCCCAGAGAAUUUGGUCAUAUUCGAGCAUGUAAAUCAAGAGCUUGGUGUAUAAAAAGAUGACACCCCAAAAUGAUUUAGGACUUAGAAGUGUGACGAUGGUAGUUGGGAACAAUAUUUGGUGUGUACAUAAGGAGGAUAUGGACUAAUGUUAUACCACAUGAUUAUGACAAUGAGUAUAUGAGGUGUGUUAAAAAUAAUUUUUAUUUAAGUGAAUUGUGAUCAAGAAAUUAAUUACGUGUGUAAUUAGUUAAAUGUGGAGGGCAAUGGAGAUGAGUAAUUAAUCAUUUAGUGGAUAAUUGUGAAUGGAUCAUUUCUACGUGGCAGCCCUGAAGGAAGGACCAGUAGUGACUAUUCAUUUUGUUGGCUAGUUGUGGCAUCUUUACUACUUAAUUAAUCAAGAUAAUACAAAGAGGUGGACCCCACAAUCCAAGAAGUGGACUCUACCUAACCUUGUCUUGUGUACACCAGACUUAUGUUGAUCAGAUUGUAGCUAAGCAACUUGAGGUGGCAAGAACACUUCUCCAAAGCUAGCUAAACGUACAUGGAUAAACUUGGUGAUUUAGAUAGUGUAUAGACCAAAAUAUUUUAGAUUAGAUGGAUCCUUCACAAAUCCACGAAAACAAGGAAUCGCUGGACAACAAAAUAUACGAAUCAACCUACAUUUUAUUUUAAGAUAAGUUGUAGAUAAAUUCCAUCUUCGAUUCUCCUUUCAAAUUCUUGAGCUCUCAUCGUUCUCUAUCUCGUGUUUGAAGUAGUUGUGUGUUUCUUGAAAGAUUAUGGUGGAAUAGAUUGUUCUCAGCUUUUUUAAGGUAUGUAUUCUUUUCCUAAUAUCAUAGACGAGGUCGUAAAGGUCGUUGUUGAUGUGAUCAACCUAUAGGACUCACAGAACGGUGUUCGGAAGCCAUGAGUCCGAAUUGUUGAACGUAUUGUGGGCUAUUUGUGUUAAUUAUUGGGCUUCCAUAUUGUGUUGCUAUUGUUAUGGAGAUCUGGAGGUGUUGUUGAGUUAUCUAUGUUUUGUGUGUAUUGAUUUGGAGUUCGGAAGGACGGAGAGCAGGCCGAAACGCCGCAUAGUUGAGUAAAUAAGCGAGCUUGCCGCUCGUCAUUAGGUCGCUGUUUCUUCUUACGUUUGAUGCUACUGUUGUCAUCCUUCUAGUAGAUUAACUUGGGUUGAACGGGCUGUUCGUGGUGGUUAUUGAAGAGUCUAGUUUUUGUUCUCUUUAUUAUUUGGCAUGAAUCCAACUAGAACAUGACUACGAGCAUUCCAUAACAACUCAUUCCACUUCUAUGCUUUGUACUUCAAUUAUAAUGCCUUAUUUAUUUGAUUGAUUCUUGUUAUAAUGGUUUACCUUCACUAAAUAGUUCCUUGAUGCCGAUAUGAGUUUCCAUAACGUUCUUCGGAGGUGAUCAAUCUUGCGUCAUUCUAAAAGGCCCAGAUGUCAUCUUAUGGGUUCCUCAUGCAUUAUAUAUAUAUGUAUUCAUUAUUUUACUACUCCGCGCCACACUAGCGUCGGUCGGGAAGGCACGUAGAUAUGCACACCAAUGCACUUGGGCAUGUUAUGAUGAUGAUGUUCCCCCAAAGUGUGGGUUGAUGAUGACAUGAUGAUGUAUAUAUGUAUAUACGUAUAUGAUUUUUCAACCCAUGCAUUGCAUAAUGUACGUCCUCAGAGUCUCAGGUCCUGGCAAAGGAUUUGGAGGCUCCUUGGUAGGGUUGUAUAGUUUUGCGUAUGGUCGGCAAGUUCCAUUGUUUCGGACUUUCUUGUUGUUGGGAUUGGAGUACUAGUUCGACGGCUUCAUUGUGGGAUUGUGUGAAAGACUUGAGGUUCAGGUAGACAGGUUGACCAUCCGCCACUGUAGGUUUCUCUUCAGCUGAUGUUGGAGCACUCCCCUUGUUCCAGAGUUGCUGUUGUGUUUUUGGUACAUUAUACUUUUGUGUGCAUAUGGGUAUGGCGGGGCCUUGUCCUGACCUUAUAAUGUCAUACACUUCAGUAGAGGCUUGUAGAUAGUCAUGGGUGAGUUAGACGUUGUAUGGCCCUUUCAGUCUAUAUUUAUUCUGUAUAGUAUUUCAUGAUGGCCUUGUCGGCUUGCACAAUUUUUGUCCAGCAUAGUUUUAUAGUACAUCUUUUCGGGAUCAUCCCUUUUCAACAUAUUUCUGUUAUGAUCUUGAAGAUUUAUAUCCAAAGACCC